rnacentral:sRNA from 2 species
AGGGUGAGCCUUAGAAUAAGGCGAAUAACCUGCGGUCAGGUUUGAGCCAAGCGAAGCGAGACAGCAACGCGCUAGCGUUGACCCCGAAGGGGCGAGGCCAAAGGCCGAGUCAUCCUGCACGACCCACCA